GAUGUGACUCAGUGGUUGAGUGCCCCUGAAUUUAAUCCCUGGUAUGCUGUCCCCUGCCCAAAAAAAUAAUUUUUGGAUGUUAGAUUUAACCAUGCCAUUUGCUAUUUUAUAUUUUCCCCCCAUGGUUUUGCUUUUGGAUUGAUCCAAGUGCUUUUUAUUCUUAAACAUUAAAUGCUAGUUUUUUGUUAAACCAUUUUGUAUUGUUACUAAUCCAUCUGUCCCACUGUCUCAGAUGUGGAACACCUAUAUAAACUUAAAUACAAAAUUUAAUUAUGUGACAUAAUUAUAUAAUAUAGACGAAUGUAAUUAUAAUAUUAACUGAUAUCAUAAUAUAUAUAAGCUCUAAAUUAUGGUUUCUGACCUAUUUGAAUGCACCUGUGUUAAUUUUGUUGAAAUAUUUGCAGAAUUGAAAACGUGGAACAGGUUAAUUGUUCCUCUAAAGCAGGGUCUGAGACAGAAUUAAGCCCUACUGCCCUAAGGAAUUCAUUGCAUGUAAUGAAUAUGCAUCAGAAUGGCCAUUCUAGAAUUCAGAAAACAGUCAUUCACAUAAUUUUCCUAUGGGAUUAACUGACAAAACUCUGGUUGAGAAAAGCUACUUUAUUAAGAUAUCCUUAUUAAAUCUACAUUAAAUUAGUAUUUUAUCACCUCAGCAAACGAGAUAAAGUAAUUCCAUUUUCUUCCUCAUCCUUGAAUCUAUUGUCAUUUUACUUUUCAUCAUGUUAUAAAUUCAUACAUUAUUUAAACAAUCAGUAGUUUUAAAAUUUUUCAAAAAUUGUUAUUUUAUAUCGACCCACCUAUUUGCUUUUCCAUGUUCUUCAAUUUCAUUCCAUAAAUCUGUGCCUCAACUGGGAUUAUUUCCCUUUGUGUGAAACACUUCCUGCAGUAUUCCUUGUAGCUGUAAUCUACUGGCAGUUGAUCUCAUCAGCUUUUUUUUUUUUGAUCUGAAAAUACAGUUAGUGUUUAUUAUUUUUGCAGUGCUCGAGAUGGAACCCAUGGACUUGAUCAUGCUACACAAGUGUUCUACUGUGCUACGCCCCCAGUUCUAAAUCGUUACUUUUGAAGGAUUUGAAGAGUACAUAAUUCUAGUUUUGAGUUUUUUGCCUGCUUUAAAGAUACAAUUUCAUUUUCUCCUGCUUUAAUGUCUGCUGACAAGUCAGCUAUGAUUCUUUCAAAUGUCUUUUUCUUUCUCUUUAUUCCUUUAAGAUUCUUUAAUUUUUUAAUAGAUUGACUAUGAUUUUUGUAGAUAUGGUUUUCUUUGCAUUUAUCCUGCUUGGGUGUGCUGAACUUCUUGAAUCUGUGGGUUCAAUUUUAGAAAGCACUCAUUGUUUUAUGUGCUUAGGCUUGCAGUAUUUCUGUUGAUAUGUUUUUGAAUUCAAUGAUUGCCCCUCGCCCCAUGUCAAGCCCACUUACAGAAUUUAUUUCAGUGAUAAGAAUUUUCACUUCUAAGAUAUUUGUUUCUACUUUAGAUAUUCUAUACUUCUAUACUGUAGUUCUAUGUUAUUUCAUCCAUCUAAAUUUUUUCUUGUUUUACUAGUGAUAAUUCUAAAGUCCUUGUCUGCUAAUUCCUAUUGUCUAUGGGCCAAUUUAUAUUGGUUCUUUUUUUCUUCUGAUUACUUUAAUAUUUACUUUUUAAUUUUAGUUGGACACAAUAUCUUUAUUUUACAUUUAUGUGGUGCUGAGGAUCAAACCCAGUGCCUUAUGCAUGAUAGGCAAGCACUCUACCACUGAGCUACAACCUCAACCCCUCUUAUAAUUAUUGAUAAGAUUAUCCUGCUGCUUCAUAUGGCACUUAAUUUUUAAAAUUGUGUGUGGAUAUGACAUAUAAAAGAACCUCAAAAUUUGAAAAAAGAAAAGAGGCUUUCUCCUGGAAGGGAAUCACCUUUCUCUGUCAACUCAUCAGUUUCAACCAUUCAGAGGUUGAGAUGGGGCAGUCAGUUUCAGUUCACUUCUGGUUUCAACCAUCUUGGGAAUAAGAGCUUUCCUGUGACUGUUUCAGGCCAUGUGGUCUGUCAGGAAUCUAAAUACAGAAACAGGAAAAACUCAUUUCUUUCUAGGCUGGUGCCCAGCCUCUCAUGCUCUUGUACACUCAGCAAAAGCUUCAGGGGGGAUAAAAAGUACUGUAAGGAAAUACCAGUUCUGAGGACCAUCCCUACUACAGUGCACGGUAACCCAGUGAGGCCACACAUACUUCACUGGUCUUUCAUUCUCCAGUGAAGUUCCCCUGCCUGUGGAGCCUGAUCUUCCACCAGCCUGUUCCCAACCAGGGUAAAACAAAGAGGGCCUCAUCCUUCUCUGCCCAGUAAUUCCUGUACCCUCUUUGUGUCCGAAGAUCUCCAGUCUUUAAAGAUGUUAAACCACAAUUGUUUGUUUUUCCAGUUGCUACAGUGGAUUCAAAAGGGUCCAGUAAACCUUCCCCAUCCAAUCUUGAAGUGGAGCUGUACAACUCUGGAACUUUCAAAAUCUCAAAUCAAUCAGUUUAGAACCAAAUCAUUUCCAAAUUGAAUCUUCCAAUAAAUGUAUUAUUUUUAAUAUUUUUUAAUUAUUGUUGGACACAAUACCUCUAUUUUAUUUAUUCAUUUUUAUGUGAUGCUGAGGGUUGAACCCAGGGCCUUGCAUGUCCUAGGCGAGUACUCUACCACUGAGCCACAACCCUAGUCCCGAAUGUAUUGAUUUUUAAAGGUCGUCUUUAAUAUUAGAUUGGCUUCAAAAUAGUUUUGGUAAAUUGUAUUUAUUUUUUCCUUAUGUUGCCCAGGCUGGCGUCAAACUCCAGGGCUUAAGUGAUCAUUCUGCCUCAUUCUCACUCGUAGCUGGGUCUAUGACCAGCUUGUUUUGGAAAAAAGAAAGCAUAAGAGAAAGGGCCAAUGGUGAUAAGAAAAUGCUAAAUGAGAUGUUCCUAUUUCCAUGAGAUUCCUUAGAAGCCACAUUCAGUGACAUCUGUCUUCUCGUUUUAAGGACUGUGGAUACAUUUGGCCAAUCAUAUCGUUGCAAGGAGACAGAGUAUCACUAAACUGCCCAGGCUGAUCUUGAGGCUCAAGUGAUCUUCCUGCCUUACCCUUUGAGUGCUGGGACUACAGAUCAAAUGUUUUAAAGAUGGAUGGAAAGUGAUGGAAGUUACCCAAGCAACCUCAGAAACCAAAUGGACUCAAUAUUCUCAGGAAAAAAGUAUAUCUUCAAAAGCUUUCUAAUUAACAUUUCCAAAUGUACUGUACAUCUUAUAGAUAAUGGCUGUUUCUCAUAAAGAAUCACAUCUUCCUUUUAUCUCACCUUGGAGAACUUUCUCCAUUGUCCUCAGCUCUUCUUGUACCACAUGAAAAGUCAGACUAGGUCUACGUGGCUGGUUCCCUGCUCUUAGGGAAAGAGACAUGAUGUAAGAAGAAUGUGCAAGGGAUGACAAAUAUUUCCAUAAACCAAAGGCCAAGAUUCUAUUUUUCUGGCAUUCUGACCAUUGUCAGGCAUAACUUGAGAAAUAACAUAAUCUUUAUGCUCCAAGUAGUCAGCCAGUGAGCUUUCAAGUGAACUACAAAUACAAACAGUCUCUCUUUCAUUGUGUAACAAAAGAAAAGUGAUCUUUCCUCUGAAACACAGGCUUAAGCUUGUACAGUUAUGAAGCCUUUUAUCUAUGGAGAAAACAAAGACAGUACAACAAAUAGAAUUCCAUUUCUUAUGAGAAAGUCACUAGACAGUAAGUCUAUGAAAGGAGCACCUUUGGUUUGUUUAUGAUUGCAUUGCUAUUAAUAUGCAGACCCUAGAAUAUGAUACUUAAUAUUUAUUCAGGAGGGCUGGGGAUGUGGCUCAAGCGGUAGCGCGCUCGCCUGGCAUGCGUGCGGCCCGGGUUCGAUCCUCAGCACCACAUACCAACAAAGAUGUUGUGUCCGCCGAGAACUAAAAAAUAAAUAUUAAAAAUUCUCUCUCUCUCUCUCUCCUCUCUCACUCUCUCUUUAAAAAAAAAAAAUAUUUAUUCAGGAAAAACUAAAUUGAAGAAAUGGUACCAACCUUACCAAAUGGAAUUAGAUUCUUGUAGUUCU